rnacentral:lncRNA from 1 species
CAGCACAAAGGCCCUUGCCAGAUGUGAGCCCCUUGAUAUUGGAUUUCCCAGUCUUCAGAACUGUCGAAAAGCCCAGGAAUGUUCUAGAAUAUAUGAUUGGCGAGGACCCUCACUGGUGCCAUCCACAUCUUCUCUUCAGGACUGGGAACGUUGGCAGCUGAUGAUCCUCUGGGAAGUUCCUUGAUACCUGAUGCCAAGUCCUGAGGUUUUUGGAAGUGCUGCAGUGGAAAUUAGGUUCUUCUUGGCUUUCCCAGUUUAGCAUUUGGCCUUCUCAGAUUCACAAGAUCAAUUAUCAUUACGUAGACACUCACAUUCUCUUUGUCCUUGUGAGUUUAUCUCUUUACUGUAAUUUUAGCAGCAUAGAGAGGAAGUAAGAAUGAAUCUAUGUUGAGAAUUUACAAGAACCUCUUAAUUUUUUACUUCAGAAGGGUGAGCUUUAUGGUACAUGAGUUAUAUCUCAAUAAAAAACAUUUUAAAAAU